rnacentral:rRNA from 1 species
UACGGGGGGUGCGAGCGUUGUCCGGAAUCAUUGGGCGUAAAGGGCGCGUAGGUGGCGGGACAAGCGUGCGGUGAAAGCUCGGGGCUCAACCCCGAGUCGGCCGUGCGAACUGUUUUGCUUGAGCACUGUAGAGGCAGGCGGAAUUCCGGGUGUAGCGGUGGAAUGCGUAGAGAUCCGGAAGAACACCGGUGGCGAAGGCGGCCUGCUGGGCAGUAGCUGACACUGAGGCGCGACAGCGUGGGGAGCAAACGGG